CUUUCAUGUAAUGACCGUGAAAUCCCUUCCAUAAGAACAUAGAGGUUUUGUUCUGUUCUGUUUCUAAUUUCAGAACAAUAAGUCUCCAAUGCACCACCACCCACCGGAAAAAGAGCACACAGUGACUGACAAGAUGGUUUCCGGGUGUCAUGUGAGAAGCAUUGAUCUAUGGUCUGUUCCCCUUCCUACUUCCUCUUCUUCUCUUUGCCCAUGUUCUGGUGCUAUCCAGAAGGAAAAGACUUUCUGAAGACCUGGGAGAGCAGCUUUGGCAUUGCUUUGCCCCUCUGAAGGCUCACAAGCCUGAGGCAGCCUGGAGCCCUGCCCAGAAGACACCCUGUUAAACACAGAGAUGAAGUUAUCACUGGCUUGGCAAAUUCUUCUCUGGCUGUUUUAUGAUAAUACCAUCAGCCAAGGGGAUGAAGCAAGGCAUGGUGCUUCAGAACAAUGAAGCCCCUUGGUGGAACAGCAUAGACCUUGGAAAAAAGAACUUUGAGACCCCUGGG
rnacentral:lncRNA from 1 species